GUAGUCGUAUUUACAUCAAUCCACAUGUGUUGAGGUGGAUUGGAGUGGAACUUGAACUAAAUUUCAUCUCAAUCCACACCAACACACAUGGAUUGAAGUGAAUACAACA
rfam:Sorghum bicolor cultivar BTx623 chromosome 10, whole genome shotgun sequence.